rnacentral:rRNA from 1 species
UACGUAUGGUGCAAGCGUUAUCCGGAUUUACUGGGUGUAAAGGGAGCGUAGACGGAGUGGCAAGUCUGAUGUGAAAACCCGGGGCUCAACCCCGGGACUGCAUUGGAAACUGUCAAUCUAGAGUACCGGAGAGGUAAGCGGAAUUCCUAGUGUAGCGGUGAAAUGCGUAGAUAUUAGGAGGAACACCAGUGGCGAAGGCGGCUUACUGGACGGUAACUGACGUUGAGGCUCGAAAGCGUGGGGAGCAAACAGGAUUAGAAACCCCUGUGGCUGACGACU